UUAUUGGGCGUAAGCGCGCGCAGGUGGUUUCUUAAGUCUGAUGUGAAAGCCCACGGCUCAACCGUGGAGGGUCAUUGGAAACUGGGAGACUUGAGUGCACAAGAGGAAAGUGGAAUUCCAUGUGUAGCGGUGAAAUGCGUAGAGAUAUGGAGGAACACCAGUGGCGAAGGCGACUUUCUGGUCUGUAACUGACACUGAGGCGCGAAAGCGUGGGGAGCAAACAGGAUUAGAUACCCUGGUAGUCCACGCCGUAAACGAUGAGUGCUAAGUGUUAGAGGGUUUCCGCCCUUUAUUGCUGAACUUAACGCAUUAAGCACCCCGCCUGGGGGGCACGGC
rnacentral:rRNA from 1 species